rnacentral:rRNA from 1 species
AUUGAACGCUGGCGGCAGGCCUAACACAUGCAAGUCGAACGGUAACAGGAAGAAGCUUGCUUCUUUGCUGACGAGUGGCGGACGGGUGAGUAAUGUCUGGGAAACUGCCUGAUGGAGGGGGAUAACUACUGGAAACGGUAGCUAAUACCGCAUAACGUCGCAAGACCAAAGAGGGGGACCUUCGGGCCUCUUGCCAUCGGAUGUGCCCAGAUGGGAUUAGCUAGUAGGUGGGGUAACGGCUCACCUAGUCGACGAUCCCUAGCUGGUCUGAGAGGAUGACCAGCCACACUGGAACUGAGACACGGUCCAGACUCCUACGGGAGGCAGCAGUGGGGAAUAUUGCACAAUGGGCGCAAGCCUGAUGCAGCCAUGCCGCGUGUAUGAAGAAGGCCUUCGGGUUGUAAAGUACUUUCAGCGGGGAGGAAGGGAGUAAAGUUAAUACCUUUGCUCAUUGACGUUACCCGCAGAAGAAGCACCGGCUAACUCCGUG